GGAAAAGCACCAAGGAGUCUUCAAAGCGGCACAGCUAGCAAGCGCUGUCAGAACGUUUACAGACUCAGCAUGGCAAAGGGAGCUCUGUCCCCACAGCACGGCCACGGUCACGGCCCGGCCACGCCUCGCGUGCAGCGCGCGGCUCCGGGCACAGCUCGCCCCGCGUCCCACGUCUGCGCCCGCACAGCGCCCGCCCAGGCCCGGGCGGACAGCCCCGCAGAAGAGGGAGAUAACUGAGGUUUUAGUAGUCUUCAGUGAACUCUGGCCUAUGGCUCACCUAGGAUCUCCCCAGCACAGGAAAAGAUGGGAGCAGUUUAAUCCAUUUCGACGCUGACCGUGCGAGCAUUUCUCACUGUGCUCACCAGAUGGCAGAAUGCACCAGAGUACGUGUGCCUCGCACGCACCUGUAAACUCGAACUG